GAUGAACGCUGGCGGCGUGCCUAAUACAUGCAAGUCGAGCGAACAGAUAAGGAGCUUGCUCCUUUGACGUUAGCGGCGGACGGGUGAGUAACACGUGGAUAACCUACCUAUAAGACUGGAAUAACUCCGGGAAACCGGGGCUAAUGCCGGAUAACAUUUAGAACCGCAUGGUUCUAAAGUGAAAGAUGGUUUUACUAUCACUUAUAGAUGGACCCGCGCCGUAUUAGCUAGUUGGUAAGGUAACGGCUUACCAAGGCAACGAUACGUAGCCGACCUGAGAGGGUGAUAGGCCACACUGGAACGGAGACACGGUCCAGACUCCUACGGGAGGCAGCAGUAGGGAAUCUUCCGCAAUGGGCGAAAGCCUGACGGAGCAACGCCGCGUGAGUGAUGAAGGUCUUCGGAUCGUAAAACUCUGUUAUUAGGGAAGAACAAAUGUGUAAGUAACUGUGCACGUCCUGACGGUACCUAAUCAGAAAGCCACGGCUAACUACGUG
rnacentral:rRNA from 1 species